UUGAAGACAAAUUAAUAUCGUAUAAUCUCUAUCUGAUCGUCCUUCUCCCCCCGACAUCUUGGGGCGAUCCGGCAUGGCCGAGGGAGCCUGCGAGCGAGGUCAUGGGGAACACGCCCAUGCGGUCGUCCCUGAGAACCGGGACUUCUCUGGUUUCUGCCCACCGCAGAUGCGGAAGAGACGAGGAAGCCGAGGGCAUCACUAAGAGCUCGAGACACCCCCUUCGUUGUCAGGCAUCAACUCGAGUCUCUCGUUGAUGGCGGCGGCGGGAACGAGUCACUAAAGGAGUGGUCUUGAGCCGGUCUCUAACGCCUGAUUUCGAUAAAUAUGACGGGUCAUCGACGACGAGUGAGGCUGCUUGAAGCCGGAGCGGGCUCUCUCUCUCUCUCUCUCUCUCCUCUGUGGUUGCGCCGCGCCCGCUGCUGCCGGGAGGCCACAGCGGAAGGCUCACGCAGUGAUCUGGCGUCAGAUUCUUUCACUGGCGGCGUACAUACCGUGGAUGUCCCUGUUCAAGAACAGAUGGAUGCUCCGCCCCCCAGCUUCCCCUCCGGGGACCGUGAACGGGCAGCGCCGCCGUCGUAUCAGCAUGCCUGGAUCAAGUGAGUAGGCUCCCCCUCCGUGGGGGUCUCAUGCUUGCUUGCUUUGGUCUUGAUUCUCUUCUCCCUUGCCCUUCAAGGCAGCAAGACCUGCUACGGGAGAGAGUGGUCGUCGGGGACGAAUUCCGCUGGGCCUCGGGGGAUGGCGUAGGUGCUUCUCUGCGUUACGUAGGAGGGGUGGACGUGAGCUUCGCCAAAGACGACCCUUCAAUCGCAUGUGGUGCACUCGUGGUCGUCGACCUUCUGCGGCGGGCGCAGUGCGGAGAAAGCGAGGGCGCGCCUGGAGUCGUCCACGAGGUCUACGACGUCGUCCGGCUCACGGUCCCCUAUGUCCCUGGCUUCCUCGCCUUUAGAGAGGUUUCUCCCCGCCCCCCUUCCUCC
rnacentral:lncRNA from 1 species